GACGACGGAGAUAAAGGAGAAUCU
rnacentral:snRNA from 1 species